rnacentral:rRNA from 1 species
CCUACGGGUGGCAGCAGUGGGGAAUAUUGCACAAUGGGGGAAACCCUGAUGCAGCGACGCCGCGUGAGUGAAGAAGUAAUUCGUUACGUAAAGCCCUAUCUGCAGGGAAGAAAAUGACGGUACGUGAGUCAGAAUCCCCGGCGAACUACGUGCCAGCAGCCGCGGUUAUACGUAGGGGGCCAGCGUUAUCCGGAUUUACUGGGUGUAAAGGGGGCGUAGACGGUGCGCCAAGUCCGGAGUGAAAUGCCGCAGCGUAACUGCGGAACUGCUGUGGAAACUGGCUAACUAGAGUGCGGGAGAGGUAUGCGGAAUUCGUGGUGUAGCGGUGAAAUGCGUAGAUAUUAGGAAGAACACCGGUGGCGAAGGCAGCUUACUGGACCGUAACUGACGUUGAGGCUCGAAAGCGUGGGUAGCGAACAGGAUUAGAUACCCUGGUAGUC